rnacentral:tRNA from 1 species
CACUAAGAAGCUUAUAUCAGCGUCAGCCUUUUAAGUUGAAGAGGAAAAACACUUUCCUUAGUGA